rnacentral:rRNA from 1 species
UACAGAGGGGGCAAGCGUUGUUCGGAAUUACUGGGCGUAAAGGGCGCGUAGGCGGCCUUCUAAGUCGAACGUGAAAUCCCCGGGCUCAACCCGGGAACUGCGUCCGAUACUGGAAGGCUUGAAUCCGGGAGAGGGAUGCGGAAUUCCAGGUGUAGCGGUGAAAUGCGUAGAUAUCUGGAGGAACACCGGUGGCGAAGGCGGCAUCCUGGACCGGCAUUGACGCGG